rnacentral:rRNA from 1 species
UCGAGAAUCUUCCGCAAUGGGCGAAAGCCUGACGGAGCAAUGCCGCGUGCAGGAUGAAGGCCCUCGGGUUGUAAACUGCUGUCAUCGGGGACGAAUAAAUGACGGUACCCGGAGAGGAAGCCACGGCUAACUACGUGCCAGCAGCCGCGGUAAUACGUAGGUGGCGAGCGUUGUUCGGAUUUAUUGGGCGUAAAGGGUUCGUAGGGGGUCGGCCAAGUCUGGCGUGAAAUCCCGGAGCUCAACUCCGGAACUGCGUUGGAAACUAGUCGGCUAGAGCGUCGGAGAGGGGAGUGGAAUUCCUGGUGUAGCGGUGGAAUGCGUAGAUAUCAGGAGGAACACCGAAAGCGAAGGCAGCUCCCUGGACGACCGCUGACCCUGAGGAACGAAAGCGUGGGGAGCAAACAGG